rnacentral:rRNA from 1 species
AUUGAACGCUGGCGGCAGGCCUAACACAUGCAAGUCGAGCGAGCGGCGGACGGGUGAGUAAUGUAUGGGGAUCUGCCCGAUAGAGGGGGAUAACUACUGGAAACGGUGGCUAAUACCGCAUACUCUCGGAUGAACCCAUAUGGGAUUAGCUAGUAGGCGGGGUAAAGUCUUCACAAGCCUACGAUCUCUAGCUGGUCUGAGAGGAAGACCAGCCACACGGGGACUGAGACACGGCCCAGACUCCUACGGGAGGCAGCAGUGGGGAAUAUUGCGCAAUGGGGGCAACCUGACGCAGCCAUGCCGCGUGAAUGAAGAAGGCCUUCGGGUUGUAAAGUUCUUUCGGUAGCGAGGCGUUAACUACAGAAGAAGCACCGGCUAACUCCGUGCCAGUAGCCGCGGUAAUAC